CGAAGAUAUCGAGGAUGCCGAUGGACUUGAAGUUGUCUUUCCCUUUGAUCUUCUGGUUGAUCCUCAUUAUGAUCCAGGAGAAACACUGGGAAUAAAGCGCCAUGGCAACCGAGUCUCGGCCUCAGUGAAGUGUCUAUAAAACAAACAGCGGUUUGGAGACAAAGGUGUGUUAUGUCAUCGUCUGUCUGCCGGCGGCAGAGAUGGAAAUAUCAUAAAGACAGAAGGCAGACUCUGGUGGAAAGUAUACAAGUACAUUUUGAGAAGUGAUCUGAGCGCCGCCAGCAGUCAUGAAUUCAAUGUUGCCCAUCUGAAGGACGGCGGAGAGCAACUUGAACACGUCUCUGAUCUCCUCCUCGGUGAACUCCAUCACUUUCAGGGCCUCCUGCAACAC